UUUACCGGUGCGGCCUUAAGCAUUUUAUCAAAGAAAGCGUAUUUGGGCCUGACAGAACGGCCUUUAUGCCUUAUGUGUUUGCAGUAUCGCCUUUCGCAUCAUACGGCAGCACUGCCACCCCACAGGUGCGCUUACGUUACGUGCUGUUACGAACAGCUAUAUACAGGAAAAAUCUAACUUCUAUGGCAUUGUUUCCGAUAACGAUGUCCCGAAGGGUUUUGUUCCGUGCAGAGAUAGUGUCAUAGCAGGCGUUAAUUCUAGUAAUCAUUGGUAAUGGGACCGGACUAGCAAAAGCCUUAUAUUACAAACUCCAGCGGAUUGGAUCCUUCAUCGGAUACUUCAUCAGGUAUUUGGACAAUGGACGAGUGAAGAAGGAGCGAGAACUUCUACUGGCUACUGCUUGGGCCGAAUUGCACCACAGAAAAUAUUAUCGACUUCAAAUGCCAAAAAGAGUCGACUGUAGAGGCUCCGAAGAAUCAUAUUAAUCCCCAAUUUGUCUUCUUUAAAAACUAGCCGUGGUUCAAACGAGAGUUUUGUUAUAAUAAACGUUCUUGCUGCUAUA